CAGGAGACGCCGGUCUUCACGCCGCCGCUGCCUUCGCCGCCGCCGGUGGAAGGUUUUCCGGCAGGAAGGCGUCCUGAGUGUCGGUUCUCCUGGACUCGUUGGGGACACUGAGCUGCAGAGACAGACCUGCCAGAGGACACAGCCAGGAAACGAGAGCUGGGCUGGGAGCUGAGCCCUGACUUCCUCCGGAAGUGCCGACGGGGGCAUCUCGGGCCUGAGGACAGCGGUUUGACGUACUUUCCACGUGGGUUAGUUUGUUUCUACGUCUGACGCUCGCCCUGAGAGAGGUUCCUGGGACCUACCU